rnacentral:rRNA from 1 species
UACGGAGGGUGCAAGCGUUAUCCGGAUUCACUGGGUUUAAAGGGUGCGUAGGUGGGUUUGUAAGUCAGCGGUGAAAUCUCCGAGCUUAACUCGGAAACUGCCAUUGAUACUAUAGAUCUUGAAUUUUCUGGAGGUAAGCGGAAUAUGUCAUGUAGCGGUGAAAUGCUUAGAUAUGACAUAGAACACCAAUUGCGAAGGCAGCUUGCUACAGGAAUAUUGACACUGAGGCACGAAAGCGUGGGGAUCAAACAGG